GAUCCCCCCCUAAAUUAUCACAACUUUCAACAAUGGAUCUCUUGGUUCUGGCAUCGAUGAAGAACGCAGCGAAAUGCGAUAAGUAGUGUGAAUUGCAGAAUUCAGUGAAUCAUCGAAUCUUUGAACGCACAUUGCGGCCAUAGGUAUUCCUUCGGCCAUGCCUGUUCGAGCGUCAUUUACACCCUCAAGCCUAGCUUGGUGUUGGGCGUCUGUCCCGCCGAUUUCUCGCGCGCGGACUCGCCUCAAAGUCAUUGGCCGCGGUCGUGCCAGCCCCCUCGCGCAGCACAUUUUGCGCUUCUCGGAGGCUCGGCGGAUCCCGCGCUCCAGCAAGGACCUUUCACGACUGACCUCGGAUCAGGUGGAGGCCCAAAUU
rnacentral:rRNA from 1 species